rnacentral:rRNA from 1 species
CCCUUAGAUGUUCUGGGCCGCACGCGCGCUACACUGAAUGGAUCAACGUGUUUUCCCUUCCCGAGAGGGACGGGUAACCCGCUGAACCCCAUUCGUGGUAGGGAUCGGAGCUUGCAAUUAUGGGUCUUCAACGAGGAAUUCCUAGUAAACGCAAGUCAUCAGCUUGCAUUGAUUACGUCCCUGCCCUUUGUACACACCGCCCGUCGCACCUACCGAUUGAAUGGUCCGGUGAAAUCUCGGGACGGCGGCUUGGUCGCUUGCGUCCGACUGCUGAAACUUGAUUAAACCAUAUCAUUUAGAGGAAGGUGAAGUCGUAACA